UAAUACAGAGGUGGCAAGCGUUGUUCGGAAUUACUGGGCGUAAAGGGCGCGUAGGCGGUCUUGUCAGUCCCUUGUGAAAUCCCCCGGCUCAACUGGGGAACUGCAAGGGAAACAGCAGGGCUUGAGUUCGGGAGAGGGAAGCGGAAUUCCGGGUGUAGCGGUGAAAUGCGUAGAUAUCCGGAGGAACA
rnacentral:rRNA from 1 species